CUACGUGCCAGCAGCCGCGGUAAUACGGAAGGUCCAGGCGUUAUCCGGAUUUAUUGGGUUUAAAGGGAGUGUAGGCGGUUUGUUAAGCGUGUUGUGAAAUUUAGAUGCUCAACAUUUAACUUGCAGCGCGAACUGGCGAACUUGAGUGCACACAACGUAUGCGGAAUUCAUGGUGUAGCGGUGAAAUGCUUAGAUAUCAUGAAGAACUCCGAUUGCGAAGGCAGCAUACGGGAGUGUAACUGACGCUUAAGCUCGAAGGUGCGGGUAUCGAACAGGAUUAGAUACCCUGGUAGUCCGCACAGUAAACGAUGGAUGCCCGCUGUUAGCGCCUGGCGUUAGCGGCUAAGCGAAAGCAUUAAGCAUCCCACCUGGGGAGUACGCCGGCAACGGUGAAACUCAAAGGAAUUGACGGGGGCCCGCACAAGCGGAGGAACAUGUGGUUUAAUUCGAUGAUACGCGAGGAACCUUACCCGGGCUUGAAUUGCAGAGGAAUUAUUUAGAGAUA
rnacentral:rRNA from 1 species